rnacentral:hammerhead_ribozyme from 1 species
GCACUGCUGAGGAGUCCCAUAAUAGGACGAACCGGCCGUCCAGUGU